rnacentral:rRNA from 1 species
AUCCACGGCCAAGCCACCCUGAAAGUGCCCGAUCCCAUCUGAUCUUGGAAGCUAAGCAGAGUCGGGUCUGGUUAGCACUUGGAUGGGAGACCACCUAGGAAGACCAGGUGCUGUAGGCA